rnacentral:lncRNA from 1 species
AUGAAGGACACAGGAUGGUUUGUUGUGCAGAAUGGCGCAGGGAUUUACAGGACAUCAAGCAUCUUUGGCCAGUGCCCACUAAACGCCAGUAGCACUGCCUCAGUCAUGAUGACAGCUGAAAAAUGCCCCCAUUCGUUUCCAAAAUUCCCCCCAGGAAGCAAUAUCAGCCAUGUUAAGAGCUGCUCUUCUACAAGUCCGUGGGUUGCCUGGGACGUCUUCUUUAGGCAGCAAGGCAGAUGGGUUUGCAGCUGCAGGCCGGAUUCAGACACAUUUCUCAUCUUUGUUCUGAUACCAGGCCAACAGGACAAUAUCUACCUGGGGCAUGCCGAGUCACACGUAAGCAAGAGUCCAAGUGCAACUCCGUAAAACAUUUUGCUGCUUCUGCUUGAGUCACAUCCACUUAUUUCAUUGGCCAAGUAGGUCACAUGGUCAAGGUCAAAAUCUAAAAGAUGAGUAAAUAUACUCCCAUCCAAGUGGGAGGAAGAAGGGAGGAAAUUCUUGCUGAACAAUACUCCAACCUAUUGAGAGUUUCAAACAUCAGAUGAUGGUGGUGGUGGUGAUGGUGGUAUCAGACUGGACCACUUUUAAGGUAUUUUGUAAUUUGAUAUUUACAUAUCCAGAAUCCAGAGAAAACACAUUAAGUUUUGUAGGGGAAGGUGUCUAAAUACAGGAGUCAAUAAUUUUUUGUACUACAUGCUGACAAGGAGGAGGCACGUAAAGUUAUGAAAAGAUGGAAGAAAUGUAAUGGUAGAAUGGAAGAAGAAGAAUUAAGGGGGAAGAAAGGAGAGAAAAAGAAAACAGAAAGUUAAACCCUAUACCAACUGUUGGGGAGGCUGAGAGCAGAUAUCCUAUUUCUUGGUUUGCCUCACAUGUAGGCAGAGCAGCUAUGGAGCAGCCAGUGCCUGGAAGAAGCCCCCGAGACACCAGCUCCUACUUAAAGAGAGGUUUUGCUAGUUCAGACAUUAGGCAUGGCAUAAGGCACCGCCAACACCACACCACACUUACGUCCAAUGAAAGUGCCAGCAGGGCAGGGAGUGCCUCACUCCCAACUGAGGGUUAACCAUUAACACACCUCUGGGGUACACACAGCUGUGUGCAGCAAGCACAGCUGGAGCGAGGGGGAUUACGAAAGGCUUUGGGAGAGAGGUUAACUGGGACUGCGUGGAGAGGCAAGAAAAUGUGGAAGAAGCACACAGUCCUGUUUUUGUAGCAUGCAUAGAUGGUGAGUAAGCCAAGGCCAGAUGGUGGUAGGCCUUGAAUGCCAGGAUGAAGAGCGUAUUCUUAAUUUUUUUUUUUUAACGUUUAUUUAUUUUUGAGACAGAGAGAGACAGCGCAUGAACAGGGGAGGGGCAGAGAGAGAGGGAGACACAGAAUCGGAAACGGGCUCCAGGCUCUGAGCUGUCAGCACAGAGCCCGACGCGGGGCUCGAACUCACUGAUCGUGAGAUCAUGACCUGAGCCGAAGUCGGAUGCUUAACCGACUGAGCCACCCAGGCGCCCCUAGCGUAUUCUUAAUUCAACGGGCACCGCUGCAAGCUGUUGAACAAGAAGUGGCAUGAAGGAGCUCUCCUGGAAUACCAUUCUUUCCUGCUUCUUUAGUCACAGAAGCACUAAUUCCUAAAAGAAAUGUAUUUAUGGAAGUAUAGUUGAUGCACAGUGUUCCAUUGGCUUCAAAUGCACAACAUAGGGAUUUGACAAGGCUAUACCUUGUGCUGUGCUCCCCACAAGUGCAACUACCAUCUGUCACCGUACAACCUAUUACCAUACCAUUCUAUAUUCCCUAUGCUAUACCUUUCACCUUUGUGGUUUAUUCAUUAGGAGCACCAGUUUUUAGCUGGGGAUAUGCCUGUGCAAAAUAAAUAUUACAUUUCUUCUCUUGCA